UACAGGGGGUGCAAGCGUUAAUCGGAUUUACUGGGCGUAAAGGGCGCGUAGGUGGUUAUUUAAGUGAGAUGUGAAAUCCCCGGGCUUAACCUGGGAACUGCAUCUUAUACUGGAUAGCUGGAGUACAUUAGAGGGUAGUGGAAUUUCCGGUGUAGCGGUGAAAUGCGUAGAUAUCGGAAGGAACACCAGUGGCGAAGGCGGCUACCUGGAAUGAUACUGACACUGAGGCGCGAGAGCGUGGGGAGCAAACAGG
rnacentral:rRNA from 1 species